rnacentral:rRNA from 1 species
GAUGAACGCUGACAGAAUGCUUAACACAUGCAAGUCGAUGGGGAAGUGGUGCUUGCACCAUGGUAACCAUGGCGGACGGGUGAGUAACGCGUAAGGAACUUGCCUGCGGGACUGGGAUAACAGCAGGAAACUGCUGAUAAUACCGGAUAAGGUCAUUAAGCUGCAUAGCUUAGUGAUGAAAGGAGACGCCUGCGGAGAGCCUUGCGUCCUAUUAGCUAGUUGGAGGGGUAACGGCCCACCAAGGCGAAGAUAGGUAGCCGGCCUGAGAGGGUGGACGGCCACAAGGGGACUGAGAUACGGCCCUUACUCCUACGGGAGGCAGCAGUGGGGAAUAUUGGACAAUGGGGGCAACCCUGAUCCAGCAAUUCUGUGUGCACGAAGACGGUUUUCGGAUUGUAAAGUGCUUUCAGCAGGGAAGAAGUAAGUGACGGUACCUGCAGAAGAAGCGACGGCUAAAUACGUGCCAGCAGCCGCGGUAAUACGUAUGUCGCGAGCGUUAUCCGGAAUUAUUGGGCAUAAAGGGCAUCUAGGCGGCCUUUCAAGUCAGGGGUGAAAACCUGCGGCUCAACCGCAGGCCUGCCUUUGAAACUGAUAGGCUGGAGUACCGGAGAGGUGGACGGAACUGCACGAGUAGAGGUGAAAUUCGUAGGUAUGUGCAGGAAUGCCGAUGAUGAAGAUAGUUCACUGGACGGUAACUGACGCUGAAGUGCGAAAGCCGGGGGAGUAAACAGG